GCAACGGCCCUCUUUAGGGCCACAUAUCACUAUCGAGUACAACAGA
rfam:Oesophagostomum dentatum strain OD-Hann O_dentatum-1.0_Cont2895.4, whole genome shotgun sequence.